UUUAUUUAAAGAAUUGCUAUAUUUUAUUUAUAAACAGGUUGUGGGUGACAAUUUAAGGCUAGGACAGUUUAUUUUUAUUUAGGAUUACUGACAUUUUACAAUUGUAAACGUGUAUUAAUAAUGAAAACAGUGUGUAUUGGGCCAAGAAAACCUUGAAGAGGAGCGAACGGAGAAAGAAGAGAAGUGGUCAUUGAGAUGACCAUAAGACAGGAUGACCAAAGGCGAUCUUGGUCAGAUAUUGAAGACU
rnacentral:lncRNA from 1 species